AUUGAACGCUAGCGGGAGGCCUUACACAUGCAAGUCGAACGAGUGGCGGACGGGUGAGUAAUUUCUGGGAAUCUGCCUGGUGGAGGGGGAUAACUACUGGAAACGGUAGCUAAUACCGCAUACCAUCAGAUGUGCUCAGAUGGGAUUUGCUUGUUGGUGGGGUAACGGCUCACCAAGGCGACGACCCCUAGCUGGUCUGAGAGGAUGACCAGCCACACUGGGACUGGGACACGGUCCAGACUCCUACGGGAGGCAGCAGUGGGGAAUAUUGAACAAGGGGCGCAAGCCUGAUACAGCCAUGCCGCGUGUAUGAAGAAGGCCUUCGGGUUGUAAAGUACUUUCAGCUGGGAAGCGUUACCCGCAGAAGAAGCACCGGCUAACUCCGUGCCAGCAGCCGCGGUAAUAC
rnacentral:rRNA from 1 species